AACGAACGCUGGCGGCAGGCUUAACACAUGCAAGUCGAACGCCCCGCAAGGGGAGUGGCCGCCGGGUGAGUAACGCGUGGGAACAUACCCUUUCCUGCGGAAUAGCUCCGGGAAACUGGAAUUAAUACCGCAUACGCCCUACGGGGGAAAGAUUUAUCGGGGAAGGAUUGGCCCGCGUUGGAUUAGCUAGUUGGUGGGGUAAAGGCCUACCAAGGCGACGAUCCAUAGCUGGUCUGAGAGGAUGAUCAGCCACAUUGGGACUGAGACACGGCCCAAACUCCUACGGGAGGCAGCAGUGGGGAAGAUUGGACAAUGGGCGCAAGCCUGAUCCAGCCAGGCCGCGUGAGUGAUGAAGGCCUUAGGGUUGUAAAGCUCUUUCACCGAUGAAGAUAAUGACGGUAGUCGGAGAAGAAGCCCCGGCGAACUUCGG
rnacentral:rRNA from 1 species